GAGUAGGGUCGGAGGGGUAGAGAAAGAAAACGGCAGCAGAGAGGAGGAGGAUGGCGGAAGCGAAGAGGAUGCAGCGGCGGGGGAAGACGAGGGAAGGGUUGGGAGGGGGGCGGGGGUAGGAAAGAACGAUGACGUUUUGGGGAACAGGGUGAGAAGGUACAGAAGAAUAGCGAACGGAAGAGGAUUUUGAAGUCAUGGCUUCAGAUUUCAGGGAAACGUCGGUGAUGUUGUCCUGCUCCUGGGCUUAAUAUGAUUGCUAAACCAAACGCCCCUUUG
rnacentral:misc_RNA from 1 species